GCAUAAAGAAAACAACAGAAGGAGUCCGACUCCUUAUGGAAAGUGAAACUGGAACUGAAUUUAUCUUAACACUUUUGGACGAAGCAAACUUUGUGGCAAACAAGAAGCAGCUUAAACUAUUUCAGCAGUAUCUUCAGGAAGCUGUGGAUGAAGCGUACAGACA